rnacentral:rRNA from 1 species
CCUACGGGUGGCAGCAGUGGGGAAUAUUGCACAAUGGGGGAAACCCUGAUGCAGCAACGCCGCGUGAAGGAAGACGGUUCUCGGAUUGUAAACUUCUGUUCUUAGUGAAGAAUAAUGACGGUAGCUAAGGAGCAAGCCACGGCUAACUACGUGCCAGAAGCCGCGGUAAUACGGAGGUGGCAAGCGUUGUCCGGAUUUGCUGGGGGUAAAGGGCGUGUAGCCGGGUUGACAAGUCAGAUGUGAAAUCCUGCGGCGUAACCGCAGAACUGCAUUUGAAACUGUUAGUCUUGAGUACUGGAGAGGCAGACGGAAUUCCUGGUGUAGCGGUGAAAUGCGUAGAUAUUAGGAAGAACACCGGUUGCGAAGGCAGUCUGCUGGACAGCCACUGACGGUGAGGCGCGAAAGCGUGGGGAGCAAACAGGAUUAGAUACCCCUGUAGUC